rnacentral:rRNA from 1 species
GAUGAACGCUGGCGGCGUGCCUAAUACAUGCAAGUCGAGCGAACGGACGAGAAGCUUGCUUCUCUGAUGUUAGCGGCGGACGGGUGAGUAACACGUGGAUAACCUACCUAUAAGACUGGGAUAACUUCGGGAAACCGGAGCUAAUACCGGAUAAUAUUUUGAACCGCAUGGUUCAAAAGUGAAAGACGGUCUUGCUGUCACUUAUAGAUGGAUCCGCGCUGCAUUAGCUAGUUGGUAAGGUAACGGCUUACCAAGGCAACGAUGCAUAGCCGACCUGAGAGGGUGAUCGGCCACACUGGAACUGAGACACGGUCCAGACUCCUACGGGAGGCAGCAGUAGGGAAUCUUCCGCAAUGGGCGAAAGCCUGACGGAGCAACGCCGCGUGAGUGAUGAAGGUCUUCGGAUCGUAAAACUCUGUUAUUAGGGAAGAACAUAUGUGUAAGUAACUGUGCACAUCUUGACGGUACCUAAUCAGAAAGCCACGGCUAACUACGUGCCAGCAGCCGCGGUAAUACGUAGGUGGCAAGCGUUAUCCGGAAUUAUUGGGCGUAAAGCGCGCGUAGGCGGUUUUUUAAGUCUGAUGUGAAAGCCCACGGCUCAACCGUGGAGGGUCAUUGGAAACUGGAAAACUUGAGUGCAGAAGAGGAAAGUGGAAUUCCAUGUGUAGCGGUGAAAUGCGCAGAGAUAUGGAGGAACACCAGUGGCGAAGGCGACUUUCUGGUCUGUAACUGACGCUGAUGUGCGAAAGCGUGGGGAUCAGACAGGAUUAGAUACCCUGGUAGUCCACGCCGUAAACGAUGAGUGCUAAGUGUUAGGGGGUUUCCGCCCCUUAGUGCUGCAGCUAACGCAUUAAGCACUCCGCCUGGGGAGUACGACCGCAAGGUUGAAACUCAAAGGAAUUGACGGGGACCCGCACAAGCGGUGGAGCAUGUGGUUUAAUUCGAAGCAACGCGAAGAACCUUACCAAAUCUUGACAUCCUUUGACAACUCUAGAGAUAGAGCCUUCCCCUUCGGGGGACAAAGUGACAGGUGGUGCAUGGUUGUCGUCAGCUCGUGUCGUGAGAUGUUGGGUUAAGUCCCGCAACGAGCGCAACCCUUAAGCUUAGUUGCCAUCAUUAAGUUGGGCACUCUAAGUUGACUGCCGGUGACAAACCGGAGGAAGGUGGGGAUGACGUCAAAUCAUCAUGCCCCUUAUGAUUUGGGCUACACACGUGCUACAAUGGACAAUACAAAGGGCAGCGAAACCGCGAGGUCAAGCAAAUCCCAUAAAGUUGUUCUCAGUUCGGAUUGUAGUCUGCAACUCGACUACAUGAAGCUGGAAUCGCUAGUAAUCGUAGAUCAGCAUGCUACGGUGAAUACGUUCCCGGGUCU